UGUACCAUGCUGGAAGCCAGU
rnacentral:miRNA from 1 species